CAGGCCCCGCCUCCCGGCGUCCCCGCCCCCUGCUGGGCCUCUCUCCGCAGCCGCGAGACCCGCGCUUGGCGCAUAGGCCGGUUCUAAUUUACAAGAACACCGCGGCCUGAGGCCGGAGAGUCCCUUCAACCCGGGAGGCGGCGGCUGCAGGGAGCCGAGACGGCGCCAUUGCCCUCCAGCCUGGGCAAAAAGAGCGAAACUCCGUCUCAAAAAAAAAAAAACAUGGCCGAAACCAGGAAGCUGCGCGAUGGCGCCACGGCCCCUCUUCUCCCGGCCUGUGUCCGGAAGGUUUCCCUCCGAGGCGCCCCGGCUCCCGCAAGCGGAGGAGAGGGCGGGACGUGCCGGGGCCGGAGCUCAGAGGCCCUGGGGCCGCUCUGCUCUCCCGCCAUCGCAAGGGCGGCGCUGACCUGAGGCCUCCCCGCAAAGGUCCCCGAGGCGGCGGCGGCGGCGGGCUGUGAGAACCGCAGAAGAACGCUGGGCGCGCAGCGACCCGUCCACCCCCGCGAGGAGAGACUUCCACAGAGGCAGCGUUUCCACAGCCCAAAGCCACGUUUCUAGGGUGAUGCAGCCCCAGUAAGUUCCUGGCGGGGAAGCUCACGGCUGUCAAAAGAACUCUUCGCUCCAGCCGGCGCACGAAGGGGAGGAGGGCAGGAGGCUGCCGCCCGCACAGGUCAUCUGAUCACGUCGCCCGCCCUAGUCUGCUUUUGUGAAUCUCCACUUUGUUCAACCCCCACCCGCCGUCUCUCCCUCCCUGCGCCUUCCCUCUAACCUUAAAGACCCAGCUACCUCUACGCAAAUGGUAGCUACCUCUGCGCAGGUGGAAGUUGAGUUCGGUUCACGCGGGACCCUCUUCCCUGUGGCAAGCUGCUGAAGGAGACCUGCUGUUACUGCUUUAGCUGCUGUUCUGCUUAAUCUCAGACAGCUGGAAGGUAGUAUUCCGCCCUCGCCCAGCCACCCGAGUAAAUGAGAAUGAUGACUGACUGAGACCCUGAUGGUGGUGGCUUAGGCUUAAUCUCAGACAGCUGGAAGGUAGUAUUCCGCCCUCACCCAGCCACCCGAGUAAAUGAGAAUGAUGACUGACUGAGACCCUGAUGGUGGUGGCUUAGGCAAGAUGAACGUCUGAAAUGGAGGCCCAGGGCUGCCACGAUGGCUCUGUAGUCAUCAGGGAGGGAGCUCCUUUUAUCUUGUUACCUACUCCCCUCUUGUGCCCCUUUCUUCCCUUGAUCUAAGAAGGUUGCUCCGGAUCUCGCCAUCUGGCCUGCGUUCAAUCAGCAGAAGCUUCCUGGAGGAGCAGGAGGAGGCACUGUGCUCGCAUCACAUACCAGUGGCCAGAAGUUGGCUUCAGGGAAGCUCAGGAAAUAGGAUGCGAGAAGCCAUGAGACCUCCCCAAACUCUGCAGUAACAGAGUCAACAAGACAAUGGCUUAAAGAUGGAGAGACCAGUUGAUCGGUCACACAAGCUGUUCCACGAUAAUUCUUGUGUCAGAAGGGGAGGCUGACUACCAGGACCACUGGCCCCACUUCCAGCCCCUCCAUUCUGAGUACACUUCAGAGGGCUCUGGCAGGGUGAGGGGGUCUUGGUGGUGCCACAGAGAGUAAAGGUCUAGCACA
rnacentral:lncRNA from 1 species